rnacentral:rRNA from 1 species
CGAAAGCCUGACGGAGCAACGCCGCGUGGGGGAAGAAGGUUCUUGGAUUGUAAACCCCUUUUCUCAGGGAAGAAGUUCUGACGGUACCUGAGGAAUCAGCCUCGGCUAACUCCGUGCCAGCAGCCGCGGUAAUACGGAGGAGGCAAGCGUUAUCCGGAAUUACUGGGCGUAAAGCGUCCGUAGGGGGCUCGUCAAGUCUGCUGUCAAAGCUCGGAGCUCAACUCCGACCCGGCAGUGGAAACUGGGGGCUAGAGGGCGGCAGGGGCAGAAGGAAUUCCCGGUGUAGCGGUGAAAUGCGUAGAUAUUGGGAAGAACACCGGUGGCGAAAGCGCUUUGCUGGACCGAACCUGACGCUGAGGGACGAAAGCUAGGGGAGCG